CGGAUAGCUUAUCAGACUGAUGUUGACUGUUGGAUGUCAUGGCAACAACAGUCGGUAGGCUGUCUGA
ncrna:Anolis carolinensis (green anole) microRNA aca-mir-21 precursor